rnacentral:rRNA from 1 species
UGGGGAAUUUUGGACAAUGGGGGAAACCCUGAUCCAGCCAUCCCGCGUGUGCGAUGAAGGCCUUCGGGUUGUAAAGCACUUUUGGCAGGAAAGAAACGUCGCGGGUUAAUACCCCGCGAAACUGACGGUACCUGCAGAAUAAGCACCGGCUAACUACGUGCCAGCAGCCGCGGUAAUACGUAGGGUGCAAGCGUUAAUCGGAGUUACUGGGCGUAAAGCGUGCGCAGGCGGUUCGGAAAGAAAGAUGUGAAAUCCCAGAGCUUAACUUUGGAACUGCAUUUUUAACUACCGGGCUAGAGUGUGUCAGAGGGAGGUGGAAUUCCGCGUGUAGCAGUGAAAUGCGUAGAUAUGCGGAGGAACACCGAUGGCGAAGGCAGCCUCCUGGGAUAACACUGACGCUCAUGCACGAAAGCGUGGGGAGCAAACAGGAUUAGAUACCCUGGUAGUCCACGCCCUAAACGAUGUCAACUAGCUGUUGGGGCCUUCGGGCCUUGGUAGCGCAGCUAACGCGUGAAGUUGACCGCCUGGGGAGUACGGUCGCAAGAUUAAAACUC